AUUGAACGCUGGCGGCAGGCCUAACACAUGCAAGUCGAGCGAGCGGCGGACAGGGGAGUAAUGUCUGGGAAACUGCCUGAUGGAGGGGGAUAACUCCUGGAAACGGUAGCUCAUAUCGCGCACCAUCAGAUGUGCCCAGAGGGGGUUAGCUAGUAGGUGGGGUAAUGGCUCACCUAGGCGACGAUCCCUAGCUGGUCUUAGAGGAUGACCAGCCACACUGGAACGGAGACACGGCCCAGACUCCGACGGGAGGAAGCAGUGGGGAAUAUUGCACAAUGGGCGCAAGCCUGAUGCAGCCAUGCCGCGUGUGUGAAGAAGGCCUUCGGGUUGUAAAGCACUUUCAGCGGGGAGGCGUUACCCGCAGAAGAAGCACCGGCUAACUCCGUGCCAGCAGCCGCGGUAAUUC
rnacentral:rRNA from 1 species